rnacentral:sRNA from 1 species
CCAACCGGCAAUCGCGUGCUAUUUAUUUGCUGCGGUGAAUUCCCCUCUGCGGCGGAGCGUUCAGUUCAGUCUCCUGUUGGCGAAAAUUAGCACGCGAAUUAGUUCGAACUGGCUAAUUCACCGGGAGGCACCCGGCACCGCAAUCACCAUUCGCAAACUAUGAAACCCGAUCGCUGCAAGCGUGAUUUUUUC